rnacentral:rRNA from 1 species
GAUGAACGCUGGCGGCGUGCCUAAUACAUGCAAGUCGAGCGAACAGACGAGGAGCUUGCUCCUCUGACGUUAGCGGCGGACGGGUGAGUAACACGUGGAUAACCUACCUAUAAGACUGGGAUAACUUCGGGAAACCGGAGCUAAUACCGGAUAAUAUAUUGAACCGCAUGGUUCAAUAGUGAAAGACGGUUUUGCUGUCACUUAUAGAUGGAUCCGCGCCGCAUUAGCUAGUUGGUAAGGUAACGGCUUACCAAGGCAACGAUGCGUAGCCGACCUGAGAGGGUGAUCGGCCACACUGGAACUGGGACCCGGUCCAGACUCCUACGGGAGGCAGCAGUAGGGAAUCUUCCGCAAUGGGCGAAAGCCUGACGGAGCAACGCCGCGUGAGUGAUGAAGGUCUUCGGAUCGUAAAACUCUGUUAUUAGGGAAGAACAAAUGUGUAAGUAACUAUGCACGUCUUGACGGUACCUAAUCAGAAAGCCACGGCUAACUACGU